rnacentral:rRNA from 1 species
CCUACGGGUGGCAGCAGUAGGGAAUAUUGCUCAAUGGGGGAAACCCUGAUGCAGCAACGCCGCGUGGAGGAUGAAGGUUUUCGGAUUGUAAAGUCCUUUUGUUAGAGAAGAUAAUGACGGUAUCUAACGAAUAAGCACCGGCUAACUCCGUGCCAGCAGCCGCGGUAAUACGGAGGGUGCAAGCGUUACUCGGAAUCACUGGGCGUAAAGAGCGCGUAGGCGGGAUAGCAAGUCAGAUGUGAAGUCCUAUGGCUUAACCAUAGAACUGCAUUUGAAACUGUUAUUCUAGAGUAUGGGAGAGGGAGGUGGAAUUCUUGGUGUAGGGGUAAAAUGCGUAGAGAUCAAGAGGAAUACUCAUUGCGAAGGCGACCUGCUAGAACAUAACUGACGCUGAUGCGCGAAAGCGUGGGGAGCAAACAGGAUUAGAUACCCGAGUAGUC